rnacentral:sRNA from 1 species
GUGGGAGUGGAGGAGGAAGAGGCGGUAGGGGUACGGGGGCUGGUCCCAGAAGAUGGCGGAGGCGGGGGAUUUCUGCUGUGAUUGGGUUAUUAUACCCCUGCAUUGACAGACAUCUAGGAGAACCACAUAAAUUUAAAAGAGAGUGGUCCAGUGUAAUGCGGUGUGUAGCAGUCUUUGUUGGUAUAAAUCAUGCCAGUGCUAAAGUGGAUUUUGAUAACAACAUACAGUUGUCUCUCACACUGGCUGCACUAUCCAUUGGACUGUGGUGGACUUUUGAUAGAUCUAGAAGUGGUUUUGGCCUUGGAGUAGGAAUCGCCUUCUUGGCAACCGUGGUCACUCAAUUGCUAGUGUAUAAUGGUGUUUAUCAAUAUACAUCUCCAGAUUUCCUCUAUGUUCGUUCUUGGUUACCAUGUAUAUUUUUUGCUGGAGGCAUAACAAUGGGAAACAUUGGUCGACAACUGGCAAUGUACGAAUGUAAAGUUAUCGCAGAAAAAUCUCAUCAGGAAUGAAGAAGGCAAAAAAUAUCUUUUGUACAGAAAAACAAGAUGAAAAGGAUGUGAAAUGGUAGAUAUACCAACAAAACUUCAGACUGUAAAAUUGCCAGGAUGCAGUUUUUCCCUUGAUUGGCGUGUGUGUAUAUAUGGAUAAAUAUAUAUACACACACAUAUUACUGCAAUCUGUGAUUGCUUCAUCUGUAAAUCAGUUGCAAACCUUUACAUAUUUGACUUAAAUAACUGUAAGAUAUAUAUGUAUUACAUUAAAAAGUGUUGAUUAAUAGAUAAAAUUUUUAAAUUAAUUUUUUAAACAUGCCAUACAUUGUAUCACAAUGUUAAUGUGCCAAAAUAUUGUUCCUGUCGUGCAGAGUAUAAGAAUGCUUUGAACAAUUUGUAAACUUAGUGAAAUAAAAUAAGAGGAAAGCCAAAAACAAACAAACAAAAAGCAUAUGAGGAGCUGGUAUUUUCUCUUUAGCUUACUGUUGUGCCUUUUUAUUUUUCUAAUCACAGCAGUAUGAGUUAUGAGUGCCCUAAUUUGUGGUUAAUUUCUAAUUUAAUGUUGUUUCAUAGAGUUUGGAGUGUUUUGAUACAGGGUGAAAAUGAACUUCUGGUUUCAAACCUGCAUUACUGGAGACAGCCCAAAGAGUAAUUUUCUGUUUUGACAGAUUUUACUGGAAGUAUAUGUGAUGAGCAGAAGAGGUUAUCAGCAUUAAAUUAUUUUUGUUCUAGAUUUGGAACAGUAUAUAUAAUUAAAAGUAAGGACCAUCAGAGGAUUUAAUUAGAAUAAAUACAUGUUUUGGAAAUACAGUGACCUCUUGCAGUGCCACAAAAGUGCAAAGUGAUAUUAGCUGUCAUCUGCAAUACAGAAUCUCAUUGCUUUUGCACAUGGAGCAUAUAGGAAACUCCAAACAGAUCACAAUGAGAUUUCUAAUUCUGUUGGGUUCUGUCAUCUAUUGGGUUCUAUGAAGCAAACCACUGUAGCUUUAGCUGGGUUCAGUCAUAUGACUCAUUGUUAGUGGAAUGCCUAGUUUUUCAUCUUCAUGCAGUCUGGGGAGUGGAUGAAUACAUAAUUUCUUACGUAUUCAUGUAUCCAUUAGUGAAUAGUUCAAGUCUGUUUAAGAAUGUAUUGAGAUGGCAUUCUCUGCAUGUUAAAGAUCUUAGUGGCAACCAGCACCUCUUAAGUAUGGUUUAAACAUAUUCUUAGCUAAUUUUUUCCAUUAGUUUUUGAAAUUGAUGGCAGUUGUCUGAUCCACAAGGGCAAGAUCUUCUGAGUACUCUGGGGUGUGUGUAUGUGUGCACGCAUGUGUGUGUUGGAGUGAGUGAGAGAAUGUGUCUGUGCAUGUGGCCAUGCUUUCCUAGAAUGUCAAGUAGAUAUUUUUACACUUUGAGUUUUAAAACAAUUACUAUCAGACUGAGAUCUUGUAUGCCAAACUUUAAUCUGCUUUGAUGUUUUCAGGCUGAAGGUGUGAAAAUCCUAAGAGGAUUUCAUAUUGAAUAUGUGUACACAAUCUUAACUGUCGUGGUGGAAAACAUACUACUAUAAUUUAUUAUUAUAUCUUCCAGAUAAUGUUAUUCAUUUAGAACAAAUAAGGUAUAUUUUUUAGAAUCCACUUUGUAAGCACUAUAAAAUCUUUAAUAAGUUAUAAGGUCUAUGAUGUGUUUACUUUAAAAAUUGCUGUUAAAAGCAACAUGUAUUAAAUAUGUAAUUAUCUGGGCUAAGAGUCUGUUUUUCUUCUUUGUGGUAAGUCUUAGAAUAUGGUACUGUGGAUUAAUCUAAUGAAAUUAACAUGUGUGGUUGAAGUUGCCAAGAAAUGAUGAAACUAAAUAUAGUUGACCCUUGAACAACAGGAGUUAGGGGCACCACUCCCCAACAUAGUUGAAAAUCCAUGUAUAACUUUUGACUCCUCCAAAACUUAACUACUAAUAACCUACUCUUGAUGAGAAGCCUUACCAAUAAGAAACAGUUGAUUAACACAUAUUGUAUAUGGUAUAUGUAUUAUAUACUGUUUUCUUACAAUAAUGUAAGCUAAGGAAAAGAAAAUGUAUUUACUCUUCAUUAAGUGGAAGUGGACCAUCACGAAAGUCUUCACUCGUGCUAUCUUCAUGUUGAGUAGUAGGCUGAGGAGGAGGAGGAGGGGUUGGUCUUGCUGUUGCAGGGGUGGAAGAAAAUUUGCAUUAUUAGUGGACCCACACAGUUGAAAACCAUGUUGUUCAAGGGUCAACUGUAUAUAGUAUUGGUGAGAUUGAAUGAUUAUCAUUGGUGUUCUUAAAUUAUUUUCAGGUCAUCUAGAAAAUAAUUAUAGCAAAAAAAAUUGUUUUGAUAUUUUGAUAAAUAUAUAAAUGUAUAGAACCUAUUUUUUUCGGUGAAAGAAAAUGGGAAACAUUUUUUAACAUUGCUAGAUUGGCAGUGCUUUCUUUUAUUAUUUCAAGUUAUGGAAAUUUGCACAGUUGAAAACUGGGGAUAAAUUCUACAAAAGUGCAAGAAAACAAUUCAAAUUAGCCAGAGCCCUGCUAAAACUUUUAAUGUAAAAUUUAUUUCUUUGCACUGAGCUGUUUUACCUUCUUUAAGGCCAUUGGGACCUCUCAAUGAUGCAUAUGUUUCAUACAUCUUGUAUUUUCCAGGCAGAAGCCAGACUUGGUUAAUACCAAUAAAUACUUCUGUAAUCCUA